rnacentral:rRNA from 1 species
AUUGAACGCUGGCGGCAUGCUUUACACAUGCAAGUCGAACGGUAACAGGCCGCAAGGUGCUGACGAGUGGCGCACGGGGGAGUAAUGCAUCGGAACGUGCCCAGUCGUGGGGGAUAACUCCUCGAAAGAGUAGCUAAUACCGCAUACGAUCUAUGGGUGAAAGCGGGGGACCGCAAGGCCUCGCGCGAUUGGAGCGGCCGAUGUCAGAUUAGGUAGUUGGUGGGGUAAAGGCUCACCAAGCCAACGAUCUGUAGCUGGUCUGAGAGGACAACCAGCCACACUGGAACUGAGACACGGCCCAGACUCCUACGGGAGGCAGCAGUGGGGAAUUUUGGACAAUGGGCGCAAGCCCGAUCCAGCAAUGCCGCGUGCAGGAAGAAGGCCUUCGGGUUGUAAACUGCUUUUGUACGGAACGAAACGGCUCUGGUUAAUACCCGGGGCUAAUGACGGUACCGUAAGAAUAAGCACCGGCUAACUACGUG